GCAUGCUUAACAUGCAGUCGAACGGCAGCGCGGACUUCGGUCUGGCGGCGAGUGGCGAACGGGUGAGUAAUGCAUCGGAACGUACCUUUCAGUGGGGGAUAACGUAGCGAAAGUUACGCUAAUACCGCAUAUUCUGUGAGCAGGAAAGCAGGGGAUCGCAAGACCUUGCGCUGAUGGAGCGGCCGAUGUCAGAUUAGCUAGUUGGUGGGGUAAAGGCUCACCAAGGCGACGAUCUGUAGCGGGUCUUAGAGGAUGAUCCGCCACACUGGAACUGAGACACGGUCCAGACUCCUACGGGAGGCAGCAGUGGGGAAUUUUGGACAAUGGGCGCAAGCCUGAUCCAGCCAUGCCGCGUGAGUGAAGAAGGCCUUCGGGUUGUAAAGCUCUUUCGGCCGGGAAAAAAUCGCUUGGGUUAAUACCCUGAGUGGAUGAUGGUACCGGAAUAAGAAGCACCGGCUAACUACGUGCCAGCAGCCGCGGUAAUACGUAGGGUGCGAGCGUUAAUCGGAAUUACUGGGCGUAAAGCGUGCGCAGGCGGUUUUGUAAGACAGGCGUGAAAUCCCCGGGCUCAACCUGGGAACUGCGUUUGUGACUGCAAGGCUAGAGUAUGGCAGAGGGGGGUGGAAUUCCACGUGUAGCAGUGAAAUGCGUAGAGAUGUGGAGGAACACCAAUGGCGAAGGCAGCCCCCUGGGCCAAUACUGACGCUCAUGCACGAAAGCGUGGGGAGCAAACAGGAUUAGAUACCCUGGUAGUCCACGCCCUAAACGAUGUCAACUAGGUGUUGGGUGGGUAAAACCAUUUGGUACCGUAGCUA
rnacentral:rRNA from 1 species